ACGGAAGGCAGCAGUGAGGAAUAUUAGUCAAUGGGCGGAAGCCUGAACCAGCCAAGUCGCGUGAGGGAAGACGGCCCUACGGGUUGUAAACCUCUUCUGCGCGGGGGUAAAGUCGGGGACGUGUCCCCGAUUGCAAGUACCGCGCGAAAAAGGAUCGGCUAACUCCGUGCCAGCAGCCGCGGUAAUACGGAGGAUCCGAGUGUUAUCCGGAUUUAUUGGGUUUAAAGGGUGCGCAGGCGGGAUGUCAAGUCAGUGGUGAAAUGGUGCGGCUCAACCGUAGCAUUGCCGUUGAAACUGGCGUCCUUGAGUGCGAAUGAGGUACGCGGAACGUGUGGUGUAGCGGUGAAAUGCAUAGAUAUCACACAGAACGCCGAUCGCGAAGGCAGUGCACCAAGCCGCGACUGACGCUGAGGCACGAAAGUGCGGGGAUCGAACAGGAUUAGAUACCCUGGUA
rnacentral:rRNA from 1 species